AUUGAACGCUGGCGGCAGGCCUAACACAUGCAAGUCGAGCGGAGCGGCCGACGGGCGAGUAAGGCCUAGGAGUCUGCCUGGUAGUGGGGGAUAACGUCCGGCAACGGGCGCUAAUACCGAAUACUAUCUGAUGAGUCUAUGUGGGAUGAGCUAGUUGGUGGGGUAAGGGCCCACCAAGGUGACCAUCCGUAGCUGGUCUGAGAGGAUGAUCAGUCACACUGGAACUGAGACACGGUCCAGACUCCUACGUGAGGCAGCAGUGGGGAAUAUUGGACAAUGGGCGAAAGCCUGAUCCAGCCAUGCCGCGUGUGUGAAGAAGGUCUUCGGAUUGUAAAGCACUUUAAGUUGGGAGGCGUUACCAACAGAAUAAGCACCGGCUAACUCCGUGCCAGCAGCCGCGGUAAUAC
rnacentral:rRNA from 1 species